CCGUGCUAGACGGGGAAGUAGCGGAGCCCUGAACCCGCAAUCCGCUGUAGCGGGGUCGAAUUCCCGUCUGAGGGUUGGGCUUGUGGGGCUCGGUCCAAGCAAGUGGUGUUGACGAUUGGGUCUUGCGCAAUAAGGCUCCAUGAACCCCGUCAGGUCCGGGAGGAAGCAGCGGUAAGUGGAUCACCUUAUGUGCCGCAAGGGUGCCUAGUCCGAGCUAACUACUUGGGUGCCACCUGGAAGUGCCAAUUCGA
rnacentral:SRP_RNA from 1 species